rnacentral:tRNA from 1 species
GGGGGUGUCGCAUAGUGGCCAAUUGCAUCGGACUGUAAAUCCGACUCCGUAGGAUACGUUGGUUCGAAUCCAACCGCCCCCA